rnacentral:rRNA from 1 species
UAAAAAGCUCGUAGUCGGAUUUCAGUUUAAUUUGUUUGGCUUAUAUGUCAACACAAGUUUUACUUCAUUGAUACGAAUCUACAUCUGAUUUAUUUCCGGUGUUGCCUAGUAUCUCUUUUACUUUGAGAAAAUUAGAGUGUUCAAAGCAGGUUUUCGCCUGAAUAUUACUCUUGGAAUAAUGAUAUAGGACUUUGGUUCUAAUUUGUUGGUGUAUUAGGACCGGAGUAAUGAUUGAUAGGGACGGUUGGGGUCAUUCAUACUGCAAAGCUAGAGGUGAAAUUCUUGGACCUUUGUAUGAUGAGCAACUGCGAAAGCAUUUGACUAGGACGUUCCCGUUGAUCAAGAACGAAAGUUGGGGGAUCGAAGACGAUCAGAUACCGUCGUAGUCUCAACCAUAAACUAUGCCAGCUAGGGAUGGGAAGGUGUUUAUUUAUGACCCUUUCCGCACCUUAUGAGAAAUCAAAGCAUUUGGGUUCCGGGGGGAGUAUGGUCGCAAGGCUGAAACUUAAAGGAAUUGACGGGAGGGCACCACCAGGAGUGGAGCCUGUGGCCUUAAUUUGACUC